rnacentral:misc_RNA from 1 species
UCUCCGUCGGUGAACCAGCGGAGGGAUCAUUACAGAGUUUACACAACUCCCAACCCUUGCGAACCGUACCCAUUCUGUUCUCGUUGCUUCCGGCGGGGGGGACGGGGGGGCCCGAAACGGCCUCCCCGCCCCGCCCGCCGGGGGCGGCGGGCCCUACGAACCUUUAUAUCUCAACCACCAGAAACAGUCUGAGAAGACAAACAAAAUAAUCAAAACUUUCAACAACGGAUCUCUUGGCUCUG